UGUUUAGUGUGGCCGUAGUAGUUGUUGUGGAGGCUGCUAGACAUAAGAUGAGAUGGAUGUUGCUGUGGAGGGCCACUACAUGCCAUGGCUCUGUUUUUAUUUUUCUCAAGUGGUGUUGUGCAAUAGGUAAGGGCCGACACUUUUUUGUGGCACUCAACAAAAUGGACGGAUAACUUCAAAUGAUGUGUAUUAAGAUCAGAUUCAGCAUUUCCUAAUAGCAAUGUCUUUGCAUGUUUGCCGAUAUAUAUAUUGAAAGUGUAUCUGGAACAUUGGUUAUGCGCUGGGUUA